GUCUUCAUGGUGUAGUGGUUAUCACGCUUUCUUCACACGUGCGUAACAUGUGGGUCUCCCGGAAGAGGUCUCCGGUUCGACCCCGGAUGAGGACA